rnacentral:rRNA from 1 species
CACGUAGGGUGCGAGCGUUGUCCGGAAUUAUUGGGCGUAAAGAGCUCGUAGGCGGUGUGUCGCGUCGGCCGUGAAAACCUGCAGCUUAACUGUGGGCGUGCGGUCGAUACGGGCAUGACUGGAGUUCGGUAGGGGAGACUGGAAUUCCUGGUGUAGCGGUGAAAUGCGCAGAUAUCAGGAGGAACACCGGCGGCGAAGGCGGCAUCCUGGACCGGCAUUGACGCUGAGGAGCGAAAGCUAGGGGAGCAAACGGG